CGUAGCGGUGCAUCGCCCGCCGCCCCUCUAGCCCAGGCCGUGGAUACGUUUUCCCUUUAAGGUGAAAGGCGUUCGGUGCGGGCGAGGGGGAGGCCGCUUAGUUUCCAUACGGGUGGGGCUUCUUGGACCGUGGUGCGCCACGCGCCGAGAUUUUCGGUUAAUUUGGAAGAGCCCUCCGCCCUUAACCAAAAAGGCCGCCACCCGCCGGCGUUCCUGUCCGAAAAAAAUUUGCGCCGCCCGGGAAUCGAACCCGGGUCAAUACCUUGGGAGGGUACCAUCAUGCCACUAGACCAGCGGCGCCGUACAACAAGCCCGAACUAAGCUUUACUUCAGAAUAGGUUCCGCAGCGAGGAAAACGUGGACGAGUAGGGGAUCGAACCCUAGGCCUUCCGUAUGCGAAACGGACGCUCUACCACUGAGCUACACGCCCAUCGAAAGGUCCAAGUGCUGUAGAGACACCAAUGGUGGAUGUGCAAAUGUUUAUAUUUUGUCGCGCCGUAUAAGGUGAGAUGGUCGAGUGGUCUAAGACGUUGGAUUAAGGUUCCAAUCCUUUCGAGGGCGUGGGUUCAAACCCCACUCUCAUCAUUUUUCGCGCCACAGGCGCUUGUCGCCCCCGCUGCCGUACCGACGCGACGACGAGUACGACCACACUUGAGUGAAAACACCAUAUCCCGUCCGAUUUGUGAAGUUAAGCACUCACAGGCUCCGUUAGUACUGAGGUCAGUGAUGACUCGGGAACCCUGAGUGCCGUACUCCUUUUUUUCCGCCGCACCGUUUUCGUGCUCACCCUGCCCUGUUGGUCUUGGGAGGCGGCGAAGCAGCGAGUGGAACGUUGUUCAAGUCAGUCGUCUUUCUGUUCUCGCGGCGCAAAGGAGGAGAGCGUGGGGGCUGUGAGCACAGAUUAUGAGACCACCUGGUUGCGUUCUUCGGAAAAGGGCUGGGAUGGGGAUAGGGGAAGCCCGCGAUGCCUUUAGCCAAGUAUCGGUGUUUCUUAAACUAUGGGGACGGAGGACGUCCUGUUGUGUUGUUGGAAGUUCUUCGGUUGACUAUGCAAGCGGUAGGAAAAGAUGUCUUUUGUUCGUGUAAGCAGCAAAGUAUGAUUGUGCCUCACCUCUCCCUCUACUUGCGCAACGAAGUUGGGCAGAGGAUGUGCAGCUGGAUCAUGUUCUCUUGAAUCUCAGUGGCCGCUGGCAGCAAGGCUCGAAAAGGAGGUUCACUUUAGUUUGUUCUCAUAUUGUCAUUACUCAGGUGCACUGUUCGUCUGAGAUUUCUUGAUAUGACGCAUAAUGUAGUGGAGGUUUCUUUGGAGUUUUUGCCUUGAUAGCGCUGAUUACGAAGGGCAUCUCCGUGCGUGGCAUCUCAGGGUCCACCGCGCACCUUCUCUUUUGGGAGGCCGAGCAGCCCCCCCUCCCCCUUCCCUCUCGCUCUAUCCUUGCCAGUGCUGAACAGCCCCCGGUGGUGACAGGGCCAAGCAUCUAUGGCGUAGGGGUGGCCAGAGCGAUGUAUCCCCACGGAUGCCGGCGGCCGGGCCGUGGAUGGCGCUGCGUCGGGGCGGCCUGUGACCGUGCACGCGCCCGUGCCGUCCAUGUGAUGGGCGGGGUGUGUGCGCGACCCGAGCGUAUCCCACGCCCGGCCCUCACGCUGCCUACUGGUGGGUGGGCCCGGGUGCCGCCGCGAGGGAUGCACGACGUGGCGACCCGCCUGCUGUGCGCGGCUGCGAGGCGACCUGCGGGGCGGGAGGUGGGCAGUGCUCCGAUGACUGAGUCGGCGCAUUGCUGCACCGCGUGUCUGGCGCUGCUUCGCACCGCGCGAUGGGGGCGUGUGACAUGCCUGGUAGAGUGAAGUUUUACUCAUUGUGCGCUAGGACGUUCGUGUUAAAUGACCGUAUUUUGCCUUGGGAGCACUGUCGACCGGGAUGAAGGAGUCGAUGCAGUAAUAUGUGAUGUUUCAUUUCUCUUCUUCAAUUAGUCGAAAAACUGAACGAGGGCUUUGUGCAUGCAGCGUGGUUGCAUGGCUUGCGAAUUCGCGAAGUAGAGCUGAAUUCUCUCUUCUGUGAAAGCUUUUUGUUUGAGUGUCAAGCGUGAGAACGCGCAAGGGUGAGAGGCAGCCCUUGAAGGAGAUCUGGGUUGACAUCUUGCUAGUGUGUCGAAAGAGCUAAGCAGCUAAAACGGGUAAAAAGGGGACGAUUUUCGACUGUGCGAGCAAAGUCAUAGAUCUUGGGAGGUCGUGGCGUGGAGCAUGUGUGUAUCAUGUGACCUCGUUUCUUCAAGGGUUGAGAAAAAAGAGAAAACGACUGAUGCGCUGUGUGUUGUCAGGAGUGAAAGCAGAACUGAUCGAGUGGCGGUAUCCUCCUUUUCUAAUGGUCAACUUAGAUGCGUGGCGAAGCUGAAAGUUCCUAUGUGAAAGUCGAGGCAGAAAAAUGUUUAGUUUUCUCCCUUAUGCCCCACUGGUAAAAAAGAAGCUCCCACACGUACAUCACUUUUGCUGCAAAAGCAGACCUGGCGUUGCCAAGCCAUUUGUGCUCUCUUUGCUCUAUGAUGCCGUUAGCGGUGAGUGAAGCGCUGGAAUAUUUCUUCAGCAACCCGCUCUACUGCUUCUCAUAAGAGUGAAAAAAAAAAGAUUGUUGUGCACCUGUUGCUUUGCUGCUGCGAAGAAAAAAAAUGGAAUGCUAUCUCUCUCACAUUCGAUUUCCUCUAUUCUACUGAAACUGCAUGUUGCCAUUUGAUGAAAAUGCAAUCAACAG
rnacentral:tRNA from 1 species